GCUCGUCACAUUGCAAGCAGGAUGUCUGAUCAGGACUUUAAUCAGUAACUGCUCAACGCUACUCACAUCAGCGAUUUGUUCUGCAGGAGGGAACAGAGACCGCUCCAGUUCUCCUCCAGACACACCUAACUCAUGAUUUCAUAGUUAGAUUUUUUCUCAUGAUCAGAAUCAAACAUUCUGUGUUGUUUGAAUUAAAAAAGUGUAGAAAGUUU